CCUACGGGAGGCAGCAGUGGGGAAUCUUGGGCACUGGGCGCAAGCCUGACCCAGCAACGCCGCGUGAAGGAAGAAGGCUUUCGGGUUGUAAACUUCUUUUAAGGGGGACGAACAAAUGACGGUACCCCUUGAAUAAGCCACGGCUAACUACGUGCCAGCAGCCGCGGUAAUACGUAGGUGGCAAGCGUUAUCCGGAUUUAUUGGGUGUACAGGGCGUGUAGGCGGGAGCGCAAGUCACAUGUGAACAGUCAGGGCUCAACCCUGAGCCUGCAUUUGUAACUGUGUUUCUUGAGUGCUGGAGGGGCAAUUGGAAUUCCGGGUGUAGCGGUGAAAGGCGUAGAUAUACGGAGGAACACCAGUGGCGAAGGCGGAUUGCUGGACAGUAACUGACGCUGAGGCGCGAAAGCGUGGGGAGCAAACAGGAUUAGAUACCCCGGUAGUC
rnacentral:rRNA from 1 species